CUGGUCUCCUGGGCUCAAGGGAGACUCCCACCUCAGCCUCUCAAAGUGCUGGGAUUACAGGUAUGAACCACCUGGGUCAUUAGGAAGCCAGUCUGCAGCCCCCUCCCUGUCUGGGAGGCGCUGGAGGGUGUGUGCGCAGACAGACGGACAGUCCCUUCCACGGAGAACCGGAAUGCGCUGCCCUACCCUGCCCGCUCCCCUGGGACCGCCCAGUCCUCGGACUCUGCCCUCGGGCCCUUCCCCAGAAGUCCUGCCCGCCAUGGGAAGAGAGAGGCUGAGACCCACCCCGAUGGAAGCAGAGAGGCCCUGGAAGGUGGGGGAAUGCGCCUUCGGUGCCGGCCUCCCCCCAACUCUAUUUCAGGCACCCCCACCCCACUCCCAGCAUCUGCCACUCACAUCAGCUUCUGCAGCAUUCAACGAGGUGGAGAAAGUGCUGAGCUUCAGGGAGGACCACGGCCCAGCCCCCUCCAAGGUAGGGGAGGGAGUGACAAGGUGGGGGUCCGGCCGGCUCUCCAAGCAGGGAGCCCGUGAGGUGCAGUCAAUCCAAACAGGGCUCACUGAAGACACGGCCUGUAAGUUCUCCCCUAAAGGGUCCCUGAAACUAUGAAACCCCAGAGAGGGGCAGGAGACCCCGGGAUGGCCAGGGGCGGGGGUGGGGACGAGACCGGAAGGAGGGAGCCCCCACCUCCGUCCUCACCAUUCGCCUUCCCCACUGAGGGAGCCACGGCCGUGGCCACAUCAUCGCAAGACACACAUGCAUUGUUGGGGUCGCCCGGCCUGCGGCGGGAUCCCCGGCUCCGUCCCCUCUUAGAUAAGGAGAAGCAGUGAGCAGGCCCAGCCUUCAAACAGCUCAGCCACUGCCACCGCUGCCGCCUCCUCCUCCUCCUCCUCCUCCCCACAGCCAUCUUCCCUGCUCCUUAGGCAGGGACAGGCCUGGGCUGUCCUGGAGGCCACCAAACCGCCUGGGACAAGUAGGUACCACCCCGGAUCUGUGCUUCGGACGUCCUUUGAGGGGAAUCUCGUUUCACCACUGUUCUGUGUCUGACUUCUGGCCGCCGAACGGGGGCCCGUGUUCUGCACGAGGCUGACCAGGGGGACGGGGGACGGGAAGAGAUGGUUUUGGUACUUACUUUUCUUUUUGUCUCACAACAGGGGGGUUAAGGUUCUCGGGGGCUGAAGGAGCCGCUUGGGGCUGGCAGGCCUGGCUUUAUAGCGGCCGUCACCCCGGACCUGGGCAAAGGCGCUGUGGUUAUUAAUAGUGACUGCAGCUUCAUGCCCGUAUAUGGUCAAGGCCACGGCAGCUGCAGGCUCUGCCGGACUCAGGCCUCCUCCCAACACCUGCUCCGGGCCCUGACCUGGAGGCGCCGGGCAGCACUCGCCCCAUCCAAUGUGACUUGGCAAUGACCAUGUCGGAGACCCUAGAAUCAAACAAGACUCACAGUUGGGGGCCCUCCAGAGGGUGCCGGGUCCCGCCGCACCCCUUCCUUCCGCCCUCACCACCGUCUUGGGAGGCACAUGGAAUCCCUGUCCCUGGGGAGGGGGAAAUGGCAGAGAGAGAGGCAGCACUGUUUACCAGGAGCGCAGCCAGGAUGUGCUUAAACCCAGGACACAUUUUUGCAGACGGUGUGUAACUAAAUCCAGGCUGCGGCCUGAGGCCUCAAAUGGGUGUUCUGUGUCCUGUGCUGCCUUUACUCAGCCUGGGGAAACCGGGAGGACCCAUGGCCUCCUCCGCUCCUGCAGACACAGGGUCUCCCCAGGUUGCCCAGUCUGGUCUGCAAC